rnacentral:rRNA from 1 species
GACGGAGGAUGCAAGUGUUAUCCGGAAUCACUGGGCGUAACGCGUCUGUAGGUGGUUUAAAAAGUCUGCUGUUAAAAAUUGACGCUUAACUUCAAAGGUGCCGUAGAAACUUUUAAACUCGAGGAUGGUAGGGGUAGAGGGAAUUUCCAGUGGAGCGGUGAAAUGCGUAGAUCUUGGAAAGACCACCAAUGGCGAAGGCACUUUACUGGGCCAUUCCUGACACUGAGAGGCGAAAGCUAGGGGAGCAAAUGGG